rfam:Gossypium arboreum cultivar AKA8401 contig_37362_3, whole genome shotgun sequence.
CAACUAUGUUGUGGGAAUCUUUGGAUUAACAUCUUGAAAAGCUCCCAAGCUUUGUGAAAACUCUCUCCUUCUAGUUGCUUAAAUGUAGCGAUCUUUCUCCUUAGUUG